UGUGUAAGAUGCCAUGCUCAUUUCACCAGGAUAUUGAAGGCCAAGGCAGGAGCAGAAAUAAAAGAAGAGAAAAAAGAAAAAAGAUGUUGACCCAAUGUCACAAAAUAUAGCUGCCGCUUGAUCAUGGACAUAGCACUCUGAUGCUGCUUGGCUUCUUGGGUGAACUUCAAAGAGCACAGGGUCCUCUUUGUCUCCAGGAGCUCAUGGGAAUACACUGGUUUUGCCUCUGACAUUGUUUUGAGCACUUUGACCUCCAUUAUAAGGAGACCAUUCAUUAGAAGCAGCAAUCCUCCAAUUACCUCAACACAGCCAGAAGCCUCAAAAGACUGCUUCCACAAUGCGGUUACUGUCCUUUCAUCAGGAACAAAGGCCCUUAGCAGAGGUUUUGUUAACAUCACUUGGU